AACCUCGGCUCAUUAAACGGCGCCAUGUUUCGUUUCUCUAUCAGUUUAAUGUAAAACAUGUUGAGUCAAACAGUUUGCAUGUUUUCUCUAAAUGCGGAGAACUGAUUAUGUUUCGCAGAGUUAACUCAUUACAGUGGUUCUGAUCCAGACUCCUGGGCUUCCGUAGUCUGCAGCGGCGGGCUGAGUGAUGUCGCCCCGCUGGUAAUGAGUCUGCUGCGGGUUGGGCUUCGGAGUCAACAGCCGCGUUAACCCGCCGAUGAAACGCCGCGGAACCGGCAUCAUUAGCCGGGAGAGAGACGCUCUGCUGCGGCCGUAACGAGCCGCGGCCGCCAUCGCUCACUCCUUAAUUAGCAGCGGGGCGGCGCGGGGCUCCUCUACUCGCUAAUGGAGGCAACAUGGCGGAACAUCACGGCCCAGUUGGAGCCGGGACGGAGCAGCUUCUCUGCUCAACAGUUCAUCAGCUGAUGAGCACAACGGCAGGGGUCAGAGGUCAGCGUUAUUACGUCUGAAGGCUCGGGGUGCCGUGACGGGGUGUGGUCAGGUGUCAUCUGAGUUUGAUGUGUGAUGUGAGGCCGCACACUUCAAGGUCAGAGGUCAAGGUGGAUGAAGAGGCAGAAUCAUCCUCAUCAGAUCGUCACAUCUGGUCUAAUCAAAGUCCUGAUCCGGGUCAUGUGACCUCCUGAGGCUCCACCCACUAACAGGCUGAUCCUCAGGGACUUCAGUCAGGAACUGGGUCAACGGAUCAGUGAGUGACGUCAUCCACAGCAGGAAGAGUUUAUUGAUCAGGUCCUGAAGGGAAACAGCGCCCCCUGCUGGUAACGGUAAGGAACUGCAGGUAUUUAAUUGAUCAGAAACAGUUUUUACAGUAUAAAUGUUUGGAGUUUCUUUGGUUUUC